UUUGUGUCUUUGUCCCUGCGGAAAGGAUUGAGAUAGAAGAGGAGGAAGGACAGCAGAGGAGGAGUCCGACUGUGCCACCUUCAUCCAGGUGUGCUCCAGACAGCAGCAGCCCCAAACCAGGCGGCAGGAGCCAAACAUCCUCAUCCUCAUCCCUGAGUGACAAUCUGGGGAAAAUCUCAAUUUCUGCUGAGAGCAGGAAUGCUGAGGACAGGCAGGACCUGAAUGGCAAAU